rnacentral:rRNA from 1 species
GAUGAACGCUGACAGAAUGCUUAACACAUGCAAGUCUACUUGAACUUCGGUUUGGGUGGCGGACGGGUGAGUAACGCGUAAAGAACUUGCCUCACAGUUAGGGACAACAUUUGGAAACGAAUGCUAAUACCUGAUAUUAUGAUUUUAGGGCAUCCUAGGAUUAUGAAAGCUAUAUGUGCUGUGAGAGAGCUUUGCGUCCCAUUAGCUAGUUGGAGAGGUAACGGCUCACCAAGGCGAUGAUGGGUAGCCGGCCUGAGAGGGUGAACGGCCACAAGGGGACUGAGACACGGCCCUUACUCCUACGGGAGGCAGCAGUGGGGAAUAUUGGACAAUAGACCAAAAGUCUGAUCCAGCAAUUCUGUGUGCACGAUGACGUUUUUCGGAAUGUAAAGUGCUUUCAGUUGGGAAGAAAAAAAUGACGGUACCAACAGAAGAAGUGACGGCUAAAUACGUG